GCCCCCGUCGUCUAGCCCGGUCUAGGACACCGCCCUUUCAAGGCGGAGAUCGCGGGUUCAAAUCCCGCCGGGGGCGCCU
rnacentral:tRNA from 2 species